rnacentral:rRNA from 1 species
GCGCAGCAGGCGAGAAACCUCCGCAAUACACGAAAGUGUGACGGGGCCAUCCCGAGUGCCGUCCGCUGAGGACGGCUUUUCCCCAGUGUACACAGCUGGGGGAAUAAGGAGAGGGCAAGCCUGGUGUCAGCCGCCGCGGUAAUACCAGCUCUCCGAGUGGUGGGGACGCUUAUUGGGCCUAAAGCAUCCGUAGCCGGCUGGGCAAGUCCUCCGUUAAAAUCCCAACGAUUCAAUCGUUGGGUCGUGCGGGGGAGUACUGUCCA